rnacentral:rRNA from 1 species
AUUGAACGCUGGCGGCAUGCUUUACACAUGCAAGUCGAACGGCAGCGCGGGCUUCGGCCUGGCGGCGAGGGGCGAACGGGUGAGGAAUGCAUCGGAACGUGCCCAGUAGUGGGGGAUAGCCCGGCGAAAGCCGGAUUAAUACCGCAUACGACCUGAGGGUGGAAGCGGGGGACCGAAAGGCCUCGCGCUAUUGGAGCGGCCGAUGUCGGAUUAGCUAGUUGGUGGGGUAAAGGCUUACCAAGGCGACGAUCCGUAGCUGGUCUGAGAGGACGACCAGCCACACUGGGACUGAGACACGGCCCAGACUCCUACGGGAGGCAGCAGUGGGGAAUUUUGGACAAUGGGGGCAACCCUGAUCCAGCCAUGCCGCGUGCGGGAAGAAGGCCUUCGGGUUGUAAACCGCUUUUGUUCGGGAAGAAAUCCUCUGGGCUAAUACCCCGGGGGGAUGACGGUACCGGAAGAAUAAGCACCGGCUAACUACGUG